ACAGUCGGAUACUGACAGAGAUUGAGACACUGAGACAAGAGAAGGACUUCACCGUCCACACCAUCGCAGUCAACUGCCAUGACAGGUUAACCUGCAUUGGAUAUGAAUGUGGCCACUUGUAUCGAUCCUUCGUCAAGAUUAUUUUGUAUUUAUUCUGGCAUUUUUUUGUUUGGUCCCAUCACAGAAAAUCUAACUUUAGCAGCAUAUGUUAUAUGUUUAAUUGCAAUCGUUGCAGUGAGUUUCUGAAGAGUUUGGCCCAUAAAACAGGAGGACGAUUCCAUCAGGCUCCUGAAAACACAGAUAGAGCUCUUAUCAGAAAACUCCUGUCAGAUCCGUGCAGUGUGGACCCAGUGCUUCCAAAAUGUGAGGGGGAUGAUCUAAGGAAACUAUCCGAAGAGAUCGAGAAGCUGAGAUUGUUCCAGAAACAAGCUAAAGCGUUCAGGGAAACUAGUUUGGAGUCGAGGAACCAGACGGGAACAUAGACAUUGAUGUCCACGCUUGUUCAAAUCACGACAGCUUUAUUGAUUCAAAAAUAUCUCUGGCAAAGGCCUAAUGUAAAAGAAUUUGUUAAAAAUUAAAUAUGGCUUAAUAAUACUUUGGAAACAUCGUAAAUAGAUAUAAAAAUCAUGGUUAAAAGAAAAAACCUUGAAAUUUUAUGUGUAGCAUUAACUCCUUAGCAUUCUGGGAAAAUGUAACUAAGCACAAAAUUGGAACGCUAACAGGUUAAAUGUUUUUUUUGAAAUUUUUUUGUACAUGAAAUUGUACUUCAUGAGCAACAAAAAAAAAAGUGUAAAAACAAAUGUAUUGUCAAUGUAAUGUAGC
ensembl:lncRNA